CCUACGGGGGGCUGCAGUGGGGAAUAUUGCACAAUGGGGGAAACACUGAUGCAGCGACGCCGCGUGAGUGAAGAAGUAAUUCGUUAUGUAAAGCUCUAUCAGCAGGGAAGAAAAUGACGGUACCUGAGUAAGAAGCUACGGCUAACUACGUGCCAGCAGCCGCGGUAAUACGGAGGGGGCAAGCGUUAUCCGGAUUUACUGGGUGUAAAGGGAGCGUAGAGGGCAGUGCAAGUCUGGAGUGAAAGGCCGGGGCUCAACCCCCGGACUGCUCUGGAAACUGUACGGCUUGAGUGCAGGCGAGGUAAGUGGAAUUCGUGGUGUAGCGGUGAAAUGCGUAGAUAUUAGGAGGAACACCAGUUGCGAAGGCAGCAUACUGGACUGUAACUGACGUUGAGGCUCGAAAGCGUGGGGAGCAAACAGGAUUAGAUACCCCAGUAGUC
rnacentral:rRNA from 1 species